CCUACGGGAGGCAGCAGUGGGGAAUAUUGCACAAUGGGGGAAACCCUGAUGCAGCGACGCCGCGUGAGUGAAGAAGUAUUUCGGUACGUAAAGCUCUAUCAGCAGGGAAGAAAAUGACGGUACCUGACUAAGAAGCCCCGGCUAACUACGUGCCAGCAGCCGCGGUAAUACGUAGGGGGCAAGCGUUAUCCGGAUUUACUGGGUGUAAAGGGAGCGUAGACGGCAGCGCAAGUCUGGAGUGAAAUCCCAUGGCUUAACCAUGGAACUGCUUUGGAAACUGUGCAGCUAGAGUGCAGGAGAGGUAAGCGGAAUUCCUAGUGUAGCGGUGAAAUGCGUAGAUAUUAGGAGGAACACCAGUGGCGAAGGCGGCUUACUGGACUGUAACUGACGUUGAGGCGCGAAAGCGUGGGGAGCAAACAGGAUUAGAUACCCGAGUAGUC
rnacentral:rRNA from 1 species